UGGGGAAUAUUGGACAAUGGGCGCAAGCCUGAUCCAGCCAUGCCGCGUGGGUGAAGAAGGCCCUAGGGUUGUAAAUCCCUUUCAGCGGGGAAGAUAAUGACGGUACCCGCAGAAGAAGCCCCGGCUAACCCUGUGCCAGCAGCCGCGGUAAUACAGAGGGUGCAAACGUUGCUCGGAAUGACUGGGCGUAAAGCGCGCGCAGGUGGCCCGUUAAGUCGGCUGUGAAAUCCCCUGGCUCAACCAGGGAAGUGCAGUCGAUACUGGCGGGCUCGAGUCCCGGAGAGGGUGGUAGAAUCCCCAGUGUAGAGGUGAAAUUCGUAGAUAUUGGGAGGAAUACCGGUGGCGAAGGCGACCGCCUGGACGGGUACUGACACUGAGGCGCGAAAGCGUGGGGAGCAAACAGGAUUAGAUACCCGUGUAGUCC
rnacentral:rRNA from 1 species